CCGUGCCAAUAAAACCUUCUCAGUGCAUAAACUCAAUGCAUUAUCCUGAUUUGCCUCCAUAUCCUUUCUCAUUCUCUCAACAGCAUCAUCCUCUUCAUUACUGCCGUUAUUAUAAGUACCAUUCCCUCUCUUUGAGCCUUGUAAUGCCAAUCCCAAACAGUAAUUUGUUUGCUGCCUGGUUUGGUUUAUCAUUGAAUGGGAUCGUUCGUCGAGUUCCCUGAUAGUAUUGAGAAGUCUUUGAAGCUCAGCCGGUAAUGUGCUUGCAUACUCUAGGUAAUCGUCGACGUAGACUCCAGUUCGGGCGAUUGCCAUAUUU
rnacentral:misc_RNA from 1 species